CCACACAGCUGCGCAGUGAGCUCCUCCAUGAAGGCCUUGUGAGGCAUUGCUUCCUGUUGUCCCAGUGAUGACAGUUCUUUAUGUGGGAUAUACGCAUUUGUGGCAGCAAUGUCCAAGAAAUGUAAAAACAAUUUCCGGUACCAUCUCAUUGUUUUGUGCUGUGUUGUGUAAUACUGUAUCAGUUGGUCAGACAGAUCAACACCCCCCGUGUGUGCAUUGUACUGGAUGAUAGGUGAUGGGCAUGGAAAGUUCUUUGAAAUCCAGUCACCAUCUUGCUUCACCCUCUGCUGUAUUGUGUCCCCAGUGAAUGCUGCAUGGAUGGUGGAACAGACAGACACCUCUCGUGUGUCCAUCCACUUCACAAAAACCAGAGGACCAUCCCUUAUCCACCGUAAAGCUCCUCUUCCUGACUUCUUAGUCAGAGCAUUACAAGCAGUGCAUGGACAUUCCUUCCUGUUCUCCCUAUAUGUCCCACAAGCACCAAAGUUUUGUCCAUACAAGUCCCUGAAGAGCUUUGGGCUCGUAUAGAAAUUGUCCAUGUACACAUAA